AGACAACAACAACAACAACAAGAAG
rnacentral:sRNA from 1 species